rnacentral:rRNA from 1 species
CCUACGGGGGGCAGCAGUGAGGAAUAUUGGUCAAUGGACGAGAGUCUGAACCAGCCAAGUAGCGUGAAGGAUGACUGCCCUAUGGGUUGUAAACUUCUUUUAUAUGGGAAUAAAAUGUUCCACGUGUGGGAUUUUGUAGGUACCAUAUGAAUAAGGAUCGGCUAACUCCGUGCCAGCAGCCGCGGUAAUACGGAGGAUCCGAGCGUUAUCCGGAUUUAUUGGGUUUAAAGGGAGCGUAGGUGGAUUGUUAAGUCAGUUGUGAAAGUUUGCGGCUCAACCGUAAAAUUGCAGUUGAAACUGGCAGGCUUGAGUACAGUAGAGGUGGGCGGAAUUCGUGGUGUAGCGGUGAAAUGCUUAGAUAUCACGAAGAACUCCGAUUGCGAAGGCAGCUCACUGGACUGCAACUGACACUGAGGCUCGAAAGUGUGGGUAUCAAACAGGAUUAGAUACCCCAGUAGUC